ACAAAGAAAACAAAAACUAUCCCUUACUGAGAUAGUGAGUGAUAUACUAAAGUGCCUGAAUAAAAGCAGCUCAACACAAAAAGUGGAAUACCUUAAUCCACAAUAAAGUGCAAAAUACAAGAAAAAAAGGUAUAAACAAUAUACCAGCGAGUGGAGCGCUAUAAUGAAUAUAUAUAUAAAUAAUGAGGGGGUAUACUCACCCCUCCA
rnacentral:lncRNA from 1 species